CUGUCCACUCACUGCUUGUACUAGUGAGUGACAAGCUCUUCACUGACCCCGGUAAAGUCUUCUUGCCAUUAAAAAGGCUCACCAAGUUUACCUCCUGUCAGAAUUGAUUAACCCCCAACUCUACUGUUCUUUCUGGUUAUGUGGCUCAAGGGAGAGUGAUUUAAACUCAAGAUGACAUCUCUAACACAACCGCAUUAAAGUGGUGGAUUUCCUCCUCUCUUCUGGCAAUCACAAGCUGGGGUGAAAGGUCAACUGCCAGUCAUGGUAAAUCUCUAGCCUGAUCAACUCAGUGACCACAGCAAGAGGCGGUGGCGCUCAUGGGAUAUGGCAGCUGCAGUGCCAGAGGCCUCUCCCCAGAACAGCAUGCAUCUUGUGCGUAAAGCUUACCAGAACAUUACUUGAAACAUCCAUGCAAGGAAAAGAGUGCGUUCAAUAUCCAUAACUUUAUUCAAAGGCAUGAGCUUAUAAGCAGUGUUUGGAAAGCUAAUUAUUUGAAGGUAGAAGGUUCACAGAUCAUAAGGAUUGAUAUGAAACCAAUUCAAAAGCAACCACCUAGCCAAUUUUUCUGCAUCCAAAGCAGGAUGUUUACUAAAUCACUGAACAUUUUAAUAUCUUAGUGUUUCUUCAACCUUUAUGAUACCAGAUUUCAAUUUUUUUUUUCAUCUUUAUAUGAAGGUUACAUUUAAACUUUUCUUUUUUUUUUUACUCUUCUUAUUUUUUUGCUACUUCCUUGUACAAAUUCCUUGUACUGAAAUGUAUAAAUGUUAUUGUUUUUCCCUUGUCCCAGAGCAUAAGUCUUAAAGUAUCAUAAAAACAUUUAUUAUUUUACAAAACUUGAAACAUGAUGUGUGAAGUAAACAAAGAAAAAUCAAGGUAAAUAUCACAGAACAGAAUGUUUUAUUGUGCACCUUUUCUACAUUUUGCAAAAGUGUGAAAAUAUUAUUUAAUUUAACCCAAUUGAAUAAUUAAUACAUUGUGAAUUGUCAUAUUUCGUUUUGGCCAUUCAUUUACAUGACAACAGCCGGGGGGCCUGAAAACACAGAGUUUUAAAAAAGGGUUUCAAAGUGCAAGUUUUUGAAAAUGAUACCGUUAUCAUCGAGUAAACAACAAAAAUGCGGAACUGUGAAAACGGUGACAGCAUACUUGCGUAAUAGUCUAUAGGUUUAGCUUUAGUCUGACAACUAAGGAAAAUCCCAAAUUCAGUAUCUCAGAAAAUUAGAAUAUUACUUAAGACCAAUACAAAGAAAGGAUUUUUAGAAUUCUUGGCCAACUGAAAAGUAUGAACAUGAAAAGUAUGAGCAUGUACAGCACUCAAUACUUAGUUGGGGCUCCUUUUGCCUGAAUUACUGCAGCAAAGCGGCGUGGCAUGGAGUCGAUCAGUCUGUGGCACUGCUCAGGUGUUAUAAGAGCCCAGGUUGCUCUGAUAGUGGCCUUCAGCUCUUCUGCAUUGUUGGGUCUGGCAUAUCGCAUCUUCCUCUUCACAAUACCCCAUAGAUUUUCUAUGGGGUUAAGGUCAGGCGAGUUUGCUGGCCAAUUAAGAACAGGGAUACCAUGGUUCUUAAACCAGGUACUGGUAGCUUUGGCACUGUGUGCAGGUGCCAAGUCCUGUUGGAAAAUGAAAUCUGCAUCUCCAUAAAGUUGGUCAGCAGCAGGAAGCAUGAAGUGCUCUAAAACUUCCUGGUAUACGGCUGCGUUGACCUUGGACCUCAGAAAACACAGUGGACCAACACCAGCAGAUGACAUGGCACCCCAAACCAUCACUGAAUGUGGAAACUUUACACUGGACCUCAAGCAACGUGGAUUGUGUGCCUCUCCUCUCUUCCUCCAGACUCUGGGACCCUGAAAUGCAAUUUACUUUCAUCAGAGAACAUAACUUUGGACCACUCAGCAGCAGUCCAGUCCUUUUUGUCUUUAGCCCAGGCGAGACGCUUCUGACGCUGUCUCUUGUUCAAGAGUGGCUUGACACAAGGAAUGCGACAGCUGAAACCCAUGUCUUGCAUACGUCUGUGCGUAGUGGUUCUUGAAGCACUGACUCCAGCUGCAGUCCACUCUUUAUGAGUCUCCCCCACAUUUUUGAAUGGGUUUUGUUUCACAAUCCUCUCCAGGGUGCGUUUAUCCCUAUUGCUUGUACACUUUUUUUCUACCACAUCUUUUCCUUCCCUUCGCCUCUCUAUUAAUGUGCUUGGACACAGAGCUCUGUGAACAGCCAGCCUCUUUUGCAAUGACCUUUUGUGUCUUGCCCUCCUUGUGCAAGGUGUCAAUGGUCAUCUUUUGGACAACUGUCAAGUCAGCAGUCUUCCCCAUGAUUGUGUAGCCUACAGAACUAGACUGAGAGACCAUUUAAAGGCAUUUGCAGGUGUUUUGAGUUAAUUAGCUGAUCAGAGUGUGGCACCAGGUGUCUUCAAUGUUGAACCUUUUUACAAUAUUCUAAUUUUCUGAGAUACUGAAUUUGGGAUUUAGUUGUCAGUUAUAAUCAUCAAAAUUAAAAGAA